GAGGAGAGAAAUGAAGAACGCAAAUAUGAUAAUAUGAUAAUAAACGAGAAAAAAAGUGAAGUUUGUAACAAAGAUAGUACUUUACGAGAUUACAUUGUGAGAAAAGAGGAUACAUCAAUCUACGAAGCUUUCUUUUGUCUUUCUACUUCAUGCGUAUAUUAGACGUAACAACAUAUUAUGUAUUUAAAAAAAUUACUUUUGUUUUCUGUGUAGUAAACUUUAAAUAGUGAACGACACAUCGAAUAAAUUUUUAAUAAAUUGUACCAAUCGUAUUUGAAAAUUAUAAAAAGAUCGCAAAAGAAUUAUAUACAAAUACAUAUAACAUUCAUCAAUUGUAGUAUCCUAAAUAUAUAUCCGUGAACAAUUUUCCUUCACCAAUUUUUGCCUAUUAAAUAUAAGUUUCUUCUCUCGUGUAUAAUAAAAAAGAUUGUUAAAGUUAAUAAUCAUCUAUUAAUAAAUCAUCUAAGAAGAGGUGCAAAUUGUACUGAAUAAAAGACAUUUCAAACAGAAAGGUAUUUCAUGCAAUAGUAAAGAAGCGAUUAUUUGUAGAAAAUUAUUACUAUACUUGCAAUAAAAACAUAUGUCUAUUGAAAAGA